rnacentral:lncRNA from 1 species
GCACAGAACGCUUCCUCAGCAUCCCCCCACAUUGAGAUAUCGACUUGGUGAAACUCAUUUAGCCACCGCCGUCGCCACAGUCUUCUGGGCGGUAGCACAUGUGGUGGGUUUGCAUCCUCUUGUGAGUUUCCCCUUACAGAAAUAAUGGGUCUUAAUGAUCUACCGCAUGAGGCAAUUGAUCCUCAGCAUCCACUAAGCCACUGCUGACCGACCAAGAACUAGAGCACUCAGACCUUUUAGAGUUUUUUUUUUCCCCUUCUUGUGUGUGUUUUAGUGUGGUGCUACCUCAAUUGAUUUAGCCUUAUGAAGGAGUAAAGCCAGAUGCAGCUUUUUGUGCUUCCAAAGGGAGUCUGCUUUUAGAGAAUAAUCAUUACCCCCGUCAUCAGUCUCGGAGUCCAGCCUGAUCAAAGAAAUAAUAACAAACCAGAGAGGGGGACAAUGUGUCUGCUGUCUGGGGAGGAAAUGGAGAGGAAAAGAAUUGUCUGAUCUAAUUUAGCCAGGGAGACCACAAGGUUCCCUUUUUUCCACACCCAAUUACACCUGCUCCUCCAGGUUCACUCCACUGAGCAUGUUCACACACACACAAAGACGCUAAAAUAAGCACCAGCGCUGCCGCAAGAUCUCCACUUCCGGCGAAGACAAAGAGAGACUAUUUGCGUAUUUGUAUUGACAUAAAUUAAUUGCUUCAUGGCUUGUGAGAUUGAAUUAGGCUACGUGACACGCCUGCAAGUGGUGAUGCGGCUUUGAUUGCUGUCUUUAGUAGGGCUGAUUCCUCUCUGCCGUCAUUUAAAAGACAGUUUGAGUCCUUACAGAGCAGCCCUGCCUCCCUCCAACCCACCAACACUUAAUGAUUUUGUUUAUGAACAUGUAGACACAAAGGAAAUGUCUCUGAUAACAGAUACACAUUGCCCUGAGGUGUGUGUGUGUGUGUGUGUGUGUGUGUGUGUGUGUGUGUGUGUGUGUGUGUGUGUGUGUGUGUGUGUGUGUGUGUGUGUGUGUGUGUGUGUGUGUGCGCCUCUAUAAGCAUGUGUGUGCAGGGGAAUUGGUGAGGAUGUGUGCAUUAGCCUGUGAAAAAAAUGACAGUUUAUUUGCACAGACCUGCACUUCUUGUACCAUUCAACAGAAAGCAUUGCUUCCCUCACUGUGAAUGCAGUAUCUUAUUCAUCUUACCCCUCUGCCUCUUUACACUCACACAAACACACAAAAACAAGGAAGUAGGCGCCGGUAGAGGAAUGCUAACCCAGGUUUUUACAUUUCCCACUGUUUGGUUUAGGUUCAAUUUCUCUGAGGGGGAAACAGGAGGUGACUAUUACAGUGGUGUAAGAUGGUGUCGCCUUUAAGAUUAACAUUUUGUUUUUGCCUUGCAGGGAUUUACGCUUGAAGAUGCAUUUUGAUACAGCAUGGAAUAUAAAUAAACAUGUUGUCCAAGAAACCUGACACCUUAGAAAAGCAAAUUUAAAAAAAUGCAGUUUCUUACAAAAGAAUUCAUCCGUCCAUCUAUGAUUCUUUCAUUAUGUGUCGUGUUGCAAUCAUAGACUGUAUAUACUAUGGACAACUUGGUUCCACCCUCCGCCAGUAUGCAGAUUUGAAGCCAAAAAUCUCUCAGUAUUUUAGGGAUUUUCUCCACUUCCUGGAACCACCACUUGCACGGUAGCAUUGUACGCAUGCGGUGGGAGAGUCACCAAGAGUUGCUGUGAUGACGCUCGGCUCUAACAGCGUAUCCCCCGGGGUCAGCUACACGAUCUUCAUUUGCCCAUAGGCUGUAUCAAGUGUCAAUCAUAGAAAACAUAAACCCCCUAAUAACUUUUAAAAAUGGAGCUGCUCAGAAAAAAAGAGGACUUGGGCACAAACCAGUCUUAAAGUAACUACAUGUCAACAUCACAAGCAGGGGGGAGGAAAAAUUAUAUUCUAUCUAAUUAACUUCUAAGUUUGUCCAUAGCUCCAUAGCGAUUGCUGGAGGAGGCGCGAUUUAUGACCUAUACUGCAGUCUGUCACCAGAGGGUGCUGUUCUUGAGGAGUCCGACGACGUCCAUUCUACAUACAGUCAAUGGUUGCAACUGAAAAUUAAAUUGAUAAUAUUUGAGAUGUGUGAUAUUUUUUGGGUUCAAGCAUACCCGCUAACACUCCCGUUUUUCCCGUUACUCUCCCGUAUUUCAGACGUAUCUCCCGCCAACCUCCCGUAUUGUCAUUUCUCCGAGGAAUCUCCCGUAGUUUGCAUGGUCCCUGUUCAUUCAUGAAUCGGAUCACUAUAUUUGUCCAAAGUUUCCAGACACUCAGUUUCUACUGAGCCUCACAGACACUGGAUUGGUACUUUUACUUUACACUUUGGUAUGAUUUAGGUCGGUGUAAGCUGUAAACUAUAUUUAAACAGUGUUUGUUGCAAAACGAACACUUCAAUGAAAGGGAAACAAAUGCAGGAUAUAAUAUUCACGUUGAUAGUCUUGCACUGUCUUGGAGUGAUGCGUUCAGGGCAGCCUCAGAUAAAAGAGUAUUGUAUUGCACACACAGAUGUUCAGAAAGCCUCAUACAGGAGAGCAUGUAAAACAUAUGAGGACUUUAACACUUAUAUUAGUAGACUAAAGAAGUUCAAGGCAUAUCAUAGCUACUUUUUUUUAAUUACUGUUUGUUAUUGUUAAAACAAAACAAAAAAGAGUGCAGCUUCACUUAUACUUAUUUGGAUGAGUAAUCUAAUUACAAAUACUCUCAUAAUUAGCUCAUAUCCACCAUACAAGGUCACCCCAAAACUGCCCGGCACGCAGCAAAAAUCUCCCUGAUUUUAUCACCCAAAUGUUGGCAGGUAUGGUUCAAAUGAUUAUGCACCAAUUUCUAACAUUAUGAAUGAAUAUCAUGUUCCAUUUGUAGAAAGUCUGUCCGGCUAAUUGCAGCUGGUUGCAACCUUCACAUUCUCACUUUAAAUCUAUAUGAAUGCUUCUGCAGCAUGUCGUACUAGAUAAGUGGAGUAGAGGAGGAACAGUGAGAGAAAAUACAUGAGUCAACAAACUUUCAGUUUCGUGUCUGCUUCCAUUAGACACAAGGAUCUCUUCUCAGUAAGUUCAAUACAGGUUUUGUCAAACAGAGAGGGUCAGUCCAACGAGUAGCUUCUGCGCAUGCCUUAUCUAUACCAGCGCUGUAUGUCAGCACCCAUGGAGGUGGUGUUCUGGCUUUAUGUCUCUCUGUCAAAAAUGAAGGCACGUUGUCCAAUUUAAUGUUCAGUGCAGUUGAGGAAGGAGCCCGACGGUGCAUUGUAAGAUACGAGCAGAUGAGUGCUGCAGCAGUGAGGCAGAGGUUUUUGAAGUGUCAAGCGCAUGCCACUCACAAAAGACAGAACUAACCGUCUCUUUGUGCUAGGUGUUCAGAAAUUUUAGGCAGCACCCUUGUGAGGUUAGGUAGGCAUUUAAAGGACUAAGCAAAGGGUUAAAGCACUUCAGAGAAAAGCUAACAGGGAACAAAUCAAUCUCCCCUGAGUUGUCGAUUUUUUGGCUCAUAUGAGAUCCAGCAGGCGAGAAGGUGAUACAGAUUGCAGACCAUCCCAGACUGACUGACUGACAGCAGGCAUCUGUCAGAGGUGGCAGCUACAGACAGCUGUCUGGCAGUCCCAGUUUAUGAACAAUGAAUGGGUGGAGACAAGAGAGCCGGGAAAUCCAUCUCUCCUCUUGACAGCUUCCAUCACUCCUACAUCCCAAGUCAGCAAAGACACCUGAGGGCUUCUGUUUCUAACCUUUGUGCAAUCUCUUUCUGUUUGAGAAUCCCACUCAGACAGGGAAAAGUAAUUGUAGAGUAGAGAGGGGAAGACUGGGAUGCAGAAGUCUCAUGUCGGGAUCAAGCUUGCAAAGAGAGGCAUUAAAGUGGUCACAUGUAAGCUUAUAAAGAUGGGGAUCAUGUUGCUGUGGAGAGGAGCCGGGACACUUGGUUUCCUCCAGCUGACAAUAGAACGUGUCUGUGAAUAAAAUGAACUCUCUCCCAGAUAACAUCUACUACUGUCCUUCUGGGAGGUCUGCCACAUUACACUUUCUCUGUCACAGCUGUGAUGAAUCGUCUCCACAGCUUGCAGAAAUGUAACAUGUAGAGGAGUGGGAGUUAAAAAUACAACAUUUGCAGCUUUCUUUACAAAAUAUCUGCCCAAAGGAAUGCAUAAGUGUGAAAAAUAGCUUCAUAGUAAUAUCCACACUGAAUCUUAAACUACUGGGCUGACACAGAUAUGUCGGCAUGUGUGACAUCUGGAAAAUAAAAUGUUGCAUUAAAAUCCUUGAGAUGUGCAACCCCGUAUUUAUUUUCGCAGAGUUUGACAUCCGCCUACCCUGCCUGUUAAGAAAAUCCUGGCAACCAGGCAGAUGUUAUCCCCUCCUCUCCAUCUCCACCUCACUCCUCAUCGCUUCUCAUGCCUCUCAUCAUUCAAGCUGUGUACACAGCCUCUCCCUUUCUGGUUGCCCAGGCUCCUCUGGAGCUUGUUAAUUGCGUCAGUGACACAGGUCCGUGUGUGAAGAAGCAGCAGUAAUUGCUCCGGCCUGGCCUGAGAAGAGGAAGGUUGCAGCCGUUUGGCCUCCAGGUCUGCCCCAAGGCUACAAGAUUAGAUUUAUGCUUCCGUGUUUGAUGAGACAGAUAGCAUUAGCGGUUCUAUUAGGGAGGGAGGCUACCAUCAAACAUGUACGGCUGUCCUCAUUACACUUGAUGGAAAACACUCAUUGAUAUGGUGAUGGCUGAGGCAGUUUCUUUGACUGGCGCAUUUCAAGACCAAGAGUUAAAUAUCUGCUUCAAAACAGGCGAAGUAAAUGUACCACGAUGACCAGGAGGAAAAAUUCCGGUAUAUGCACAAAGAAGUCUUCCCACAGUGUACACUAAAGCACAAAAAAAUCCUAAAUAUAAGUUUUCCUUAAACAGGCAUGUAAUUGGAUCUAUUCCAGUAUUUGCUAAAUUUCAAUACAGGACUGACUGAAACUCCUUAUUUAAACACUGAUUUGAGUAAUAACUUGAUAAAUCAUUGAGCAAAGCUAAGCUGCUUUUUACUUUGGGAAUCACGUAACAUUAUCCACCAUCUACAGUUGGGGCCAAAAUUAUUAGCCCCCCUAUAAAAUUUUAACUUUUUAAAAAAAAAAUUCCUAAGUGCUGUUCAACACAUUUUUUUUUUUUUUACACAGCCUUUUCCAAACAUCCUAGUUUUAUUUUGGAUCCUUACAUUAUUUUACUUUGCACACAGAAACAAUAUUAUUUUACAAAAAAAAAAAAACUACCAGGGUGAAAAUUAUUAGCCCCCCUCAGGCUAAUAGUCAAUUGUGUGUCCUUUUUGCUGGAUAACAGCAUGCAGUCGGUUGCUGUAGUUUGUAACAAGGCUCUGGCACAUCUCCUGAGGAAUCCCGGCCCGUUCCUCUUUGGCAAAUCUUUCAAGCUCCCCCAGAUCUGAUGGUCUUCUAGCAUGAACCCUGGUCUUCAGUGCAGCCCACAGAUUUUCAAUAGGAUUUAAGUCAGGGCUUUGUGCAGGCCAGUCAAUAACGUUCGCUUUGGUUUCCUGGAGGCAGCUCCUCACCAGGAGUGCUGUAUGUUUUGGGUCAAUGUCAUGUUGGAAGACAAAGCGACGACCCAGACCCAGUUUUGCUGCUGACUGCUUGAGUUUUUUUUUUCAAAAUCUUCACAUAUCCUUCUUUCUUCAUUAUUCCUUCAACCUUGACAAGAUUCCCAGAUCCAGAUGCACUGAAACAUCCCCACAGCAUGAUACUCCCACCACCAUGUUUAACUGUGGGGACAGUGUCCUUGGGGUUAUAUGCCUCUCCCUUCUUUCUCCAAACAUAAGCAAUGUCUCUGUGACCAAAGAGCUCUAGUUUGGUCUCAUCUGACCAAAGAACACAUCUCCAGUUUGAACACUCUUUCUCCAGAUUGUCUUUAGCAUAUCUCAGUCUGGCUUGAAGGUGUCUUUUUUUGUAAAGGUGGAGUUUUUCUUGGCCUGCAUCUUCGCAGUCCAUUUCUGUUCAGGGCUCUAGAGACUGUUGUGUUUGACACCACAAUUCCUGACUUGACUAAGUCAGCAACUACCAUUUUGGUGGUUGUUCUAGGUUGUUUAGACACAUCUCCCACCAGUUUUCUUUCCAGUUUCCUACCUCUCCCAGACUUGUUCUGUACUGUGUGGCUCUCCUUGAAUUUUUUGAUGAUACUUCUCACUCCACUUCUUGACACAAAAGCUGUGGUAAAUUUUCAUAUCCUUCUCCUGCUUUGUGAGCAUCAACACUUCUUUUUCUCAAGUCUAAAGUGAAUUCUUUUGUAUUUGCCAUGAUGCCUUCUCAAGUGACAGCUCAAACACGUAACAAGGUUUUUAUACUGUGUGUAAAGUGUAGGACAACCCUUUGUUUUAACUUAAUUGAUUGAUUGAUUGAUGACAAGCUGUGAGCACUCGAAAGUGAAAGCACAUGAUUGCACAACAGUGGUUUUUGUUUUGGCUCAAUAAAAACGUCAAUUCUUAAGGGGGCUAAUAUUUUUGACCCUGGUAGUUUUUGGUUUUUGUGAAAUAAUGUUGUUUCUGUGUGCAAAGUAAAAUAAUGUAAGGAUCCCAAAUAAAACUAGGAUGUUUGGAAAAGCUGUGCAAAAAAAUCAUUAAUUUGUAGAACGGCACUUGGGAAAUUUUGGAAAAAAAAACUUAAAGUUUAAUAGGGGCUAAUAAUUUUGGCUUCAACGGUAUAUUAUAAACUGAUGGACAGCAUACCAAAAUCCACAAAAACUGCCCUCAAAAUAAUGUUUAUUUUCCCACAAAUGUUGAUGUCUUAAAAUAUGUAGCAUAGUUUGUGUUUUCUUAACUUGUUAGUCAUCAUUAUCUGCAAAUAAAAGACUGAUGUAUUUUAUGUUGAUAUAUGUUGUGAUGGCCCCUGCUUUUGUGUUAGUUGGUGGACAUACUGAUUUGUUGAUUUCUUCCAAGGUGCCUUCAGAACUGAUUGGAAGUAUCAACUCCAUAACAGCUCCUGGUGACCUCACUCUCUCUCUUUUGGCCCUCGAUUUGGCUCCCUCGCACCCACUGUGCCCGACCAGCUUUGCACCAUUAAUUUAGUGUAACCUUAUGUUAGUGCACUCUUCAACACCCCUCACUACACCAUGUUCACACACCCACAUGCAC